rnacentral:rRNA from 1 species
UUCAGAUUGCAGGCUGCAACUCGCCUGCAUGAAGUUGGAAUUGCUAGUAAUCGCGAAUCAGAAUGUCGCGGUGAAUACGUUCCCGGGCCUUGUACACACCGCCCGUCACACCAUGAGAGUCGAUAACACCCGAAGCCUGUGAGCUAACCGUAAGGAGGCAGCAGUCGAAGGUGGGGUUGAUGAUUGGGGUGAAGUCGUAACAAGGUACC